rnacentral:tRNA from 1 species
GCCGGGAUGGCGGAAUGGCAGACGCAGUGGCCUUAAAAGCCGCGGAGCGAAAGCUCAUGAGAGUUCGAGUCUCUCUCUCGGCA